rnacentral:lncRNA from 1 species
UGUAGGUCCUUUCCCUGGAAAAUGAUUAUUUAUAUCAUAUAAAAUACGCUCCUUUUCUUCAUGUAGGAAUUAUUUAAGUAUAGCUUUCGUUAUUACCAUUGAAGUGAUAUUUCUGGAGGAGAGGUGAAACUUGUUUGCCCACAAACCAUGUUAUGUUUAUUGGGAAAUGGUUUGGGGUGCUGUAAGGUCUGCACCCAAAGUGCUGCUUCCCGAAUUUGUUUGUAAGGUGCACAUAACCUGCCCCUGCGUUGGUGCAAGUCAGCAGCAUCAAACCUGAUGCUGUCUGAUUGUGCAGAGGAAGAGUAUGAAAUCGCAUCUGUAUGUUUGCAACACUAUUGUUUCUGUUAUACCAAUGUCAAAUGUUUUAAGACUGAAAUCUAAUUUAAAUUGCCAGGCUCACACUGCUGUAGAAUAAUGAAUUUCUUUCUUUUCCCAGGAAGUCAGAGUAUUUAUGUAUCAGAGUGUUACACCUUUGUAAAGAACACAUCUUGCUAGCUGCUGUAAUUUGCAUGGUAAUUUUUCCUAUUUCAGGGCUGAUGCUGUUCCUGCAGGAGGGUACUUUCAAGUUGUGAUUUGGUACGUGCUUGUUCCUAUACCACUGUUAGGAUGAUGAUCUGCAGAGAUUGGUGUUCCCCUCGAGAAGCCGGUCAUUUUACUCUGCCCUGCAUUGGAGUGGUCAGCUGAAAGAGAUGUAUAUGGGCUGCGUGUGCCGUGCGGAAAGCUUGUAAGGCAAUGGAUCCUGGCACAGCUCAGCCAGGUGCCUCACAGCAGCAUCAGGAGGGAAGAGAUAAAGAGUGCCAUACCGACCAGAAGGUGGGGUGGAAAUCAUCACCUUGCCAUCUCUGAACACCUCGCUGUGAGGCAGCCUUGCCUGGCCUAUGAGCUCUAGGGUUGCAGUCCUCCUGUGAACGUCCUCCGAGGGGACUAGGGACCAGGAAGCCCAACAAAACUGGGAAAGAGACAACUUGGCCACUGGGGUGCUUUGUCAGCUUUUUCUACCCUGUGCCAGGUCCC